UUGAACGCUGGCGGCAGGCCUAACACAUGCAAGUCGAACGGUAACAGAGAGCAGCUUGCUGCUUUGCUGACGAGUGGCGGACGGGUGAGUAAUGUCUGGGAAACUGCCCGAUGGAGGGGGAUAACUACUGGAAACGGUAGCUAAUACCGCAUAACGUCGCAAGACCAAAGAGGGGGACCUUAGGGCCUCUUGCCAUCGGAUGUGCCCAGAUGGGAUUAGCUAGUAGGUGGGGUAAAGGCUCACCUAGGCGACGAUCCCUAGCUGGUCUGAGAGGAUGACCAGCCACACUGGAACUGAGACACGGUCCAGACUCCUACGGGAGGCAGCAGUGGGGAAUAUUGCACAAUGGGCGCAAGCCUGAUGCAGCCAUGCCGCGUGUAUGAAGAAGGCCUUCGGGUUGUAAAGUACUUUCAGCGGGGAGGAAGGGAGUAAAGUUAAUACCUUUGCUCAUUGACGUUACCCGCAGAAGAAGCACCGGCUAACUCCGUGCCAGCAGCCGCGGUAAUACGGAGGGUGCAAGCGUUAAUCGGAAUUACUGGGCGUAAAGCGCACGCAGGCGGUUUGUUAAGUCAGAUGUGAAAUCCCCGGGCUCAACCUGGGAACUGCAUCUGAUACUGGCAAGCUUGAGUCUCGUAGAGGGGGGUAGAAUUCCAGGUGUAGCGGUGAAAUGCGUAGAGAUCUGGAGGAAUACCGGUGGCGAAGGCGGCCCCCUGGACGAAGACUGACGCUCAGGUGCGAAAGCGUGGGGAGCAAACAGGAUUAGAUACCCUGGUAGUCCACGCCGUAAACGAUGUCGACUUGGAGGUUGUGCCCUUGAGGCGUGGCUUCCGGAGCUAACGCGUUAAGUCGACCGCCUGGGGAGUACGGCCGCAAGGUUAAAACUCAAAUGAAUUGACGGGGGCCCGCACAAGCGGUGGAGCAUGUGGUUUAAUUCGAUGCAACGCGAAGAACCUUACCUGGUCUUGACAUCCACGGAAGUUUUCAGAGAUGAGAAUGUGCCUUCGGGAACCGUGAGACAGGUGCUGCAUGGCUGUCGUCAGCUCGUGUUGUGAAAUGUUGGGUUAAGUCCCGCAACGAGCGCAACCCUUAUCCUUUGUUGCCAGCGGUCCGGCCGGGAACUCAAAGGAGACUGCCAGUGAUAAACUGGAGGAAGGUGGGGAUGACGUCAAGUCAUCAUGGCCCUUACGACCAGGGCUACACACGUGCUACAAUGGCGCAUACAAAGAGAAGCGACCUCGCGAGAGCAAGCGGACCUCAUAAAGUGCGUCGUAGUCCGGAUUGGAGUCUGCAACUCGACUCCAUGAAGUCGGAAUCGCUAGUAAUCGUGGAUCAGAAUGCCACGGUGAAUACGUUCCCGGGCCUUGUACACACCGCCCGUCACACCAUGGGAGUGGGUUGCAAAAGAAGUAGGUAGCUUAACCUUCGGGAGGGCGCUUACCACUUUGUGAUUCAUGACUGGGGUG
rnacentral:rRNA from 1 species